CAGUGGCUGUGCACCAAAGAGGAACCUGCCUUACGGGCUGGGGAGCUGGGACACCCUGUUCUGGAGGCCCAGCCCGGAAGCGCCCUUGCAGGUGGCCUGGUUGCAGGGUUCCUCUUCUCUGAUGUCUGAGAGGGGAAUUCAGCAAGAAGGACUCAGUCUGGAGCUGCCCAACUUCCUCAUAAGGCAGCCUGUACGAACCAGGUGACACCUUCCCACCUCGGGUCCUUCGUCCUGGGUGACCGUCUGCGGUCCUCUGUCCCUGCCCCGGCUCUGGGUCCUGACCUGGGCUGCGGCCCCCUGAAGGUACAGAGCUCUGGCGUCCUGAGCAGCCCUGCCUGUCAGGGGCCCUGGCACUCGAAAGGAGCAGGGUGCGUGUGAUCCAAAGAGAUGAAAGCUUGACUCGUGGGCCUAGUGCGAUCCCACUUCUCCUGCGACAUCUCGGGGGGCCGGUGUCUCUCUGGCCGUGUGGGUCCCCCUGGCCUGGGCAGCAGCUCCUGUGGCUGGGUCCAUGACAUCGGCAGCCUCCAGAUUUCCCCAGGUUGGUGGGGCCUGGGGAGGUCGGAAGCACCUCCAUCAGCCAGAGGGAGAGUCCAAACCGAGUCUUCAGGAAACCCCUCCCGCUCUGCUGUCAGACUGCGGCGCACUUCUAACUGUGAAGACGACCAGGCCUGAGUCGUGACGCUGACUCUGCGGUGUGGAGCAGACCUGGGAGAAGCUCGGAAGCCAGCCCUGGUCGGUCAGAUGACCAGGAUGGAGGGGGCGGAGGCGCAGCGUGUUCUUCUCCCGAGGGUUUAUUAGAGAGGAAAUGAGGAGACCGCGGUUGGGGAGUGGGCUGAGAAGUUAGAGUCGGGCUCACCGCUUCUUCCCCGCCCCUGACUUGCUGAGUGACAUCAGCCAAAGGAUUAGCCUGCCGGGGCAUCAGUUUCUCUGUCUCUUAGAGUGGAACAUCACCUGACCUAUCUCACAGGGCACAGUAGGAGGACUGGGCCAGCCCUUGAGAAAGAAGCAGAGGCUUGGAGACUUUGGAUGCAAAGAAGGAGCAGGGAAGUAAGAAACAGCCCACUUCUUCCCCAGGCCUUGGAGUUUGGCUCCUUUUCAGGGCUGAUGUUUGUCAUCUGCGAAACCAGGCUGGCUUGGCCUGUGCCUCAAAAAUAUUGAAAGCAAAUAUUAACUCAAGAUAAUGCAACAUGAGCAACGCAAAGGCCAAUUAACCCGAGGGAAAAGAAAAUAUCACCAUAUUUUAAAAUGAUGGCACACGAUCACUUCCAGAAUUGCUCAUAAAUUCUCAUUUUGUGGCAGCAAGAAUGUGCUGGGGGAACGAAGGCAGGGGAUCUCAGGCCAGCCCUGCUGUGGUGUCAGAGCCUCACAGCGCCCCAUUUUCGAGCAACUUUCAUGGCUGAUAAGGUGGUUGCUAGAAAAAUGGGAACUAAAUUUAUAGCUGGCUGUUGCGGAGACAAUUUACAUGUGGUAGCUCCAGAGCGCAGUGAAGGAGAUGCGCUUGAAGCCAAAAUUGGCUUCGUGGCUCUGGUUUCUCAGGCUCUGCACCACCUGCCUACAAUCAAACUGUCCAAUUACAAGAAACAAUUGUUUUCUUGCUUUCUGGGAAGUGGAGAAUUUCGUCCAGCAGAAAACUGAUUUCUAAAUGUUUCUUUUUCCUCUUAAAAAGAAAAAAAAUCAGAAAAAAAACCCCAACAACAAAUUGAAAACAUCAGCCAUGUGCUGCAGGAGAAAGUGUCCCCCUCCCAAAUGACUUUCAAAGUUCAAAAACCAGAAUACUGCUGUCUCCACUCUGAGGUGUUUUUGACCACAGGCGCUUGAUCUGUAAUUACCUCUUCUAAUAACGUUAUUAGCUGUUCUGAAGAAAGGCUCUCUCUUUUAACAGCGAGGCAGUAAUUAAAGGCUGCGAAUUUCACAGGUGAAAUCUUGCAGAAUGCACGGGUUUGAAGUCAAAGAAUCCAGCCACACACCUCUGCAUAAUUACACAUUCUUCUCCAAAUAAAAUCUUGCAUCGGAAACAAUGAAGUGGGGACAAUGAUACUAUGUAUCUUUUCUUAAAAGAUACAAUACUAUGUAUCACACCUUUUCUUAAAAGACAAGAUAUUAUGUAUCAUAUCUUUUCUUUUAUCAACUCUAAUUUGACUUGGCACAGUUUACUUCUCUGAAAUGGUUAAAAUAGCAGCCUCAAAGCUGGAAGGCACAGAAACCACUGGUCACAUGUAAACGCCACAUCAAACGUAGGCAGCAGGGUGAUAAUUACAGCGCUUGCUUUCCUCUGGCAGGUGAUAUUUUAAUGCAUGCAACCAACCAACUUCACUUGAUGUGUUUCGAAUUCAUCGUCUCUUGAGCUUUUCUUUUUGGAAAUAAAAAUAUGACCUCACGCUAUGCUAUGAUUCAAUAAAAAUAACAACCCCAUGUUAUUCAGGGUAAUAAUUCCUUUCCAAGGAAUUCUUCCAUACCCAGUGCCAUGGCUUUUGAGGAUGCCGUCUCCCCUGGAAGUCAUCCCUGGCGGGAUGGGCGGGGGCUGCCCAUCAUUUGCUGCCUGGCUCGGGGCCAGAUCAGGCAGUGGUGGUUUGCCCUUCUGCCUCAUAAUCUGGCUUUUUUGUGGCCAGGGCGCGGAGAAGAACCAGGCUAUGAAUGAAUGGAUAGCUUGGAGUGGGGUUGGGGUCCCAGAGCGGGGUCCCCUGUGCAGUGCCCUGGUGUCCACACACAAAGCCGGGCCUCACCUACCCUCCCUGAGCCUCGGUUCACCUGCCAAAUGGAGCAAUGCGCAACCAGCAGGAUGGUGCCUGGGACUGCCAAGUGUGACCAGG
ensembl:lncRNA